rnacentral:rRNA from 1 species
AUGGGGUGACUGCGUACCUUUUGUAUAAUGGGUCAGCGACUUAUAUUUUGUAGCAAGGUUAACCGAAUAGGGGAGCCGAAGGGAAACCGAGUCUUAACUGGGCGUUGAGUUGCAAGGUAUAGACCCGAAACCCGGUGAUCUAGCCAUGGGCAGGUUGAAGAUUGGGUAACACUAAUUGGAGGACCGAACCGACUAAUGUUGAAAAAUUAGCGGAUGACUUGUGGCUGGGGGUGAAAGGCCAAUCAAACCGGGAGAUAGCUGGUUCUCCCCGAAAUCUAUUUAGGUAGAGCCUUGAGCGGACACCUUCGGGGGUAGAGCACUGUUUCGGCUAGGGGUCCAUCCCGGAUUACCAACCCGAUGCAAACUGCGAAUACCGAAGAGUGAUACUCAGGAGACACACGGUGGGUGCUAACGUCCAUCGUGGAGAGGGAAACAACCCAGACCGCCAGCUAAGGUCCCAAAGUCUAUGUUAAGUGGGAAACGAAGUGGGAAGGCUUAGACAGCUAGGAUGUUGGCUUAGAAGCAGCCACCAUUUAAAGAAAGCGUAAUAGCUCACUAGUCGAGUCGGCCUGCGCGGAAGAUGUAACGGGGCUAAAACAUAGCACCGAAGCUGCGGCAUCAGUGGUAACACUGUUGGGUAGGGGAGCGUUGUGUAAGCGGAUGAAGGUGAAUCGAGAGGUUUGCUGGACGUAUCACAAGUGCGAAUGCUGACAUAAGUAACGAUAAAACGAGUGAAAAACUCGUUCGCCGGAAGACCAAGGGUUCCUGUCCAACGUUAAUCGGGGCAGGGUGAGUCGGCCCCUAAGGCGAGGCUGAAAAGCGUAGUCGAUGGGAAACGGGUUAAUAUUCCCGUACUUGUAAUAGAUGCGAUGUGGGGACGGAGAAGGUUAGGUUAGCAGACUGUUGGAUGUCUGUUUAAGCCGGUAGGUGGGAAGAUUAGGCAAAUCCGGUCUUCCUUAACACCGAGAAGUGAUGACGAGUUUCUACGGAAACGAAGUAACUGAUACCACGCUUCCAGGAAAAGCCACUAAGCUUCAGUCUAUUAUAAACCGUACUGAAAACCGACACAGGUGGUCAGGUAGAGAAUACUCAGGCGCUUGAGAGAACUCGGGUGAAGGAACUAGGCAAAAUAGCACCGUAACUUCGGGAGAAGGUGCGCUGGCGUAGGUUGUAGGAGUUUACCUCCGAAGGCUGAACCAGUCGAAGAUACCAGCUGGCUGCAACUGUUUAUUAAAAACACAGCACUCUGCAAACACGAAAGUGGACGUAUAGGGUGUGAUGCCUGCCCGGUGCUGGAAGGUUAAUUGAUGGUGUUAUCGAAAGAGAAGCUCCUGAUCGAAGCCCCAGUAAACGGCGGCCGUAACUAUAACGGUCCUAAGGUAGCGAAAUUCCUUGUCGGGUAAGUUCCGACCUGCACGAAUGGCAUAAUGAUGGCCAGGCUGUCUCCACCCGAGACUCAGUGAAAUUGAAAUCGCCGUGAAGAUGCGGUGUACCCGCGGCUAGACGGAAAGACCCCGUGAACCUUUACUAUAGCUUGACACUGAACAUUGAAUUUUGAUGUGUAGGAUAGGUGGGAGACUAAGAAGUAGGCACGCCAGUGCUUAUGGAGUCGUCCUUGAAAUACCACCCUUUAACGUUUGAUGUUCUAACGAAGAUUGCGGAACGCGGUCUCGGACAGUGUCUGGUGGGUAGUUUGACUGGGGCGGUCUCCUCCCAAAGCGUAACGGAGGAGCACGAAGGUUUGCUAAUCACGGUCGGACAUCGUGAGGUUAGUGCAAUGGUAUAAGCAAGCUUAACUGCGAGACAGACAAGUCGAGCAGGUGCGAAAGCAGGUCAUAGUGAUCCGGUGGUUCUGAAUGGAAGGGCCAUCGCUCAACGGAUAAAAGGUACUCCGGGGAUAACAGGCUGAUACCGCCCAAGAGUUCAUAUCGACGGCGGUGUUUGGCACCUCGAUGUCGGCUCAUCACAUCCUGGGGCUGAAGUAGGUCCCAAGGGUAUGGCUGUUCGCCAUUUAAAGUGGUACGCGAGCUGGGUUUAGAACGUCGUGAGACAGUUCGGUCCCUAUCUGCCGUGGGCGUUGGAGAAUUGAGGGGGGCUGCUCCUAGUACGAGAGGACCGGAGUGGACGCAUCACUGGUGUUCCAGUUGUUUCGCCAGAAGCAUUGCUGGGUAGCUAAAUGCGGAAGAGAUAAGUGCUGAAAGCAUCUAAGCACGAAACUUGCCCCGAGAUGAGUUCUCCCUAGCUAUAAGCUAGUAAGGGUUGUUGGAGACUACGACGUAGAUAGGUCUGGUGUGUAAGCGUUGCGAGACGUUGAGCUAACAGAUACUAAUUGCCCGAGAGGCUUAACUAU